rnacentral:rRNA from 1 species
UACGGGGGGGGCUAGCGUUGCUCGGAAUCACUGGGCGUAAAGGGUGCGUAGGCGGGUUUUUAAGUCAGGGGGGAAAUCCUGGAGCUCAACUCCAGAACUGCCUUUGAUACUGAAGAUCUUGAGUCCGGGAGAGGUGAGUGGAACUGCGAGUGUAGAGGUGAAAUUCGUAGAUAUUCGCAAGAACACCAGUGGCGAAGGCGGCUCACUGGCCCGGUACUGACGCUGAGGCACGAAAGCGUGGGGAGCAAACAGG